rnacentral:lncRNA from 1 species
GCUGUGAAGAUGGUUGAAAUGACAACAACGGACUUAGACUACUCCAUAAACUGAGCUAAGCAGCGUGGGGCUUGAGAGGCUGAGUCCGACUUUGAAAGAAGUUCUAAUGUGGGGAAAACGCAAUCAGCAUUGCAUGCUACAGAGAAAUCGUGCAUGACAGGAAGAGUUAAUCGAUUUGGUAGCCUUCGUCGUGGUCUUAUUUUAAGAAAUUGCCACAGCCAGCCCAGCCUUCAGCAGCCCCCACCCUGAUCCAUCAGCAGCAUCAAUGUGCAGGCAGGACCCUCCACCAGCAAAAAGACUGUGACUCACUAAAGCCUCAGAUGAUUGUUCAACCUCUUUAGCAAGAAAAUAUUUUUUAAAAUUAAGACUGGGGAGUAAUUCUAACUCCCGUGACUUCGUCGUGCCUCGAAGUAGAAGUCUAGACAUCUGGAUUUGGACAUCUGGAUUCAUCCCUUGCUGUAUCCUCUAGGUUCUUUAAGGACACCGUCAAAGAUGGUGACCGACGCAGACCCUUGUAAAACGUCACAAGACUGGCAUACUUGUAGGUGAUAAGGACGGAGAAAUAAAACAUAGGAUCUCAGCCCGGCCUUACAGGGUUGCCUUCGCAGAGUCCCAUAAAUUGCGUGGCUGAAACAGAAGUAAGGAUUCUGAAGGCUUGGACUCUGGAGUCAAGUCGCAGGUAAGCCUCGACCUGCAGGUGCCCUUCCUUCCUCUUCUCAGCUCCGGGUCCUGGACCGGCAUCUUUGGCCUGCUCAGGCUUUCGCAGUAUCUGCCCAUGGCUUUCCUCCUGUGUGACUGUCUUCUUAUAAGGACACCGAUCAUAUUGGAUUAAGGGCCAGCCUGAAUCGAGUGUAACCUCCUCGUAAGUAAUCACAUCUGCAGUGACUCUGUGUCCACGUUGGGUCACAUUCUGAGGGGCUUCAAAUGCACGUUAGGACCUCCACGAAUCUUUUCCGGAGAACACAGUUCGCCCGCCGAGAGCCCUCAUGCGCCAUUGACAUCCGUCGCGCCGAGAGGAGAAGAAAGUGCCUCUUCUGGGACGGAAGCCGGGUCUGGGUGGCUGACACUCUGCUGGCGGGAGAUGGGGAGCCCCAGGGAACACAGGCCAUCUUCUCUGCAGGCUCCGUGCCCUCUGCUCACUGGGGACCCCCUCUGUCCUCCCAGUGGGACAGAGUGGAGGCGUCCCUGACCAAAGGAGGCCUCCAGCGACGUUGACGGCGCUCCCGACCCGGGCCUCAAGUUUGCCGCCACGCCCAGGGCCUGUGGCUUCAGGACGAAGGCCUGUUUGGAGUGAGCCCCGCAGGGGACGGGAGGAGGGCCUCUCGCUCCUGUCUGCUCUCCGGUUGGUUUGCCAGGAGCGUGUCUCCUGUGACAAGAGCCGCUCCCGCUUCGCGCAGCAGCCCGCGGACCGGGGCUCUCAAGUGACUGGGGAGGCAGAUGGGAGAGAAGCCGCCAGAGGAUGCUUUCCCGACCAUCUGGAGAAAAGACCACGAAGCGCUUUCGCAGGAAAGCGUGCGCUCACGCCCUUGCGGGUGAGCGCCCGACGUGGCGGGAGGUGGGAAACAAACGCGCCUCGCAGCCCGCGUUUCCUCGAGGGCUGCUGCCGGGAGCUGAGCGUCCGGAGGAGCAGGGAGGCUGUUUACACAACAGACUGCUUCGUGUGCCUGAGCUGCUCCACUGACAGCGGCUGCUCGAAGGCCGAUCAGGGGUCCCUCUUUUCUUGAAGGGUGGUAAUUCAUCGGCUUGCGCUGGGAGAGUCCAGGUCAGGGUGAGAAAGAGGCUUUGGAAGUCGGGUGCCCGGGUCUCAGCUGGGGCAGCUCCGUGUCUCCGCUGGUCAGGUGUGGAGUCAGGGCUUCAGCAGCCGGGCCGGAGCUGCUGGGCUGGUGCUCUUGAGCCCCUGGUUCCCAACUCAGACCCGCUAGGCCUGUUCCGUAACCCCCCCAACCCGCGGUUCCCGAGAAGGCGGGGGCGGGGAGAACAGGCAGAAGGGAGUCCUAGGUCCUCCAGGAGGGAGAAGGAGUAGGCCUUCUUCUCGGUGAUGCUUGUGCUCCGAGUUCCCGUGCACGUGAGGUUCGGCUGCGUAGCACGUGCAGUGCACCAAGUGGGGGACCUGCCACCCACUGGAAACGAGGGCAUCACUGCUUCCCAGGGAGAGAACAGGGCUGUGCUUUCUCUCUGCUUCUCUGCUUUUUGUUUCACAAGGCGUUGGGUGUGGGGCUUGUGCGUGGCAGGGAGGCAGGGGGACACUGGGAGCCUGUGGGCCCCCAGCCUGGGUGGCCUAUUCGGGAGUCUAACCGAGCUCGGUGCUUCAGGAGGCGGGCGGGCCCUGCCUCCCCCAGCCUCCCCUGCUGCCCCAGUCUCAUCCUGGGGGGUCAGGAGAACUGGUCCAGGGUCACCUCGUCUGGAACACUUCCUGGUCCGUUCUGAGGGCACCUCAGGAGUGAGGUGACGUUUCCAGACCCCAGGGCGUCUGUGGACAGAGAUGGACCAACAGAGCCCCCCCUGAACUGCUCUGAUGAGCCUCCGCCCAGGCCUCUGCUCCAGGUCGGCCCUCCGAGAUGCCCUGACCUGCCUCCCUCUGCGAUACCCUCACCUGUCCCCACUGCCCUGCCUGGCCGGCCGGGGUUCCAGCCCUUGUGCUAGAGGCACAGACGCCUUUUGUAUAGAAAGCGUAAAGAGGCAGCUCCGUGUCACGUGUCAUUAGUUUCACAAGGAGAACUGUAGAAGCUGUGGCUUUGACAGUUUCCCAGGAUCUCUCACAAUCACUUCUUCUUUUGCUUCCACGGCUUAAAGCCAGCCCCCCCCACCCCACCCCCGCCCCGAGACAUCUGUUGGGAACAGCAUGGUCGCAUUGCCUGCUCUGUUUUCCGUAUUUAUGUAGGCGUAAGUAUCAGCCUUGCUCUGGCUGGAGCCGGCCCACAUUAGAGAGAGAGAUGGGUCAGGAGGAAAAUCCCGAAGCUUGGAUGCUCUGCUCACCUGCCACGUUCAUCGUUCCGUGGGAGCUGAAUGAGCAGGCUCCCCGCCCCGGUGAGUUUGGGAGGAAAGUUAAUUUUCACCGCUGGAUCGAUGAUCAGAUUUCACGGGUCUGGUGUGUUUAAUGUAACGUGGGCCUGCGGCGCACCGACUGUGUGCCACGCACGGUGCAGGGUGCUCGGCCCGAGCUGAGCCACGCAUCAUUCCUGUCCCCAGGGCUCAUUAUGACAGAGCCCCCGGGGAGCUGAGGGUUUGCACUUCAACCCAGAGAAUCAGCUCACACUCCUGACGGGCUGAGCCUGAGCCUCCCUGAGACUCUGCCCCGUCAGCCCCUGUGGCGACCUGCUGACUCUUCCACGGCAGGAACAGGAGCUCCUGGGAUUUGCCAGCAGCCGGGACUGAACAUAUAUAAUGUCACACGGCUCCCCCAAGUCAGGCGCCAGGACAGCAGGGACAGAGCUGGACUGGGACUAAGUCUGGUAAUUACUCCUUCCCCACCCUGUUUUUCUUGCUGCAUUUUAUUCAAACCUAUUAAUUGGGCAAUGAUCAUUUAAAACUAUUAAUAAUAGUCUUGUUUGUGUUUAUGGUAGAGAAAAUACUACUUCAGUUAAUAAUUUGCUGUUGGUACACUGAAAAUAACAUCUCUACUUCAAACUCUUUAUUUUCUUUUUUUUUUCUUCUUUUUUUUUUUUUUUUUUUUAGGGCUGUACCCACGGUGUAUGGAGGUUGCAGACGCGGCUCGGAUCCCGCGUUGCUGUGGCUCUGGUGUAGGCCGGUGGCUACAGCUCCGAUUCGACCCCUAGCCUGAGAACCUCCAUGUGCUGUGGGAGCGGCCCAAGAAAUGGCAAAAAGACAAAAAAAGAAAAAAAAAAAAAAAGAAAAGAAAGAAAAUGAGAGUGUCAGAAGCUGAGUCUGGCUCAAGAUCUGCCAGGACACAUGCUGUGUGUAACUCAGUACCUUAAACGCGACACUAACAGCAGUGCCUGUGAUGGACACGAACUCCACUCCUGGACUUGAGGGGAGCCGGGGGCUCAAGAAGCUGAUGUUACACCCGGACCGAGGGUGAGGCCAGAGCUGAGCAGGAAGGGGUCUGCUUGCUUGUCCUCUGAAAUCCUUUGGGAUUAUAUAACUGAAAGGUCAAAAUUCUGCAGGCUUUUUAAAAAAGCAUGUACUAAUGGUUUAUGAAUAGAGUCUGGAUAAGUUGUUUUGCGCCCUUUUCUUCCUAAUUAAGGGAUCCAAACAGAGUGGGUGGACUUGGAUUCCUCCCAGAGGUGUUUUUGACGUGCCCGGCGCAGAGGCGCAGGGAUGCCAGGGUCCGAAAGGGCCGGACCAAGAACUCAUCGAGGCGCCACUGGUGGGCUCCGGUUUGGUCCGGCAGCCCCUCCCCCGGGCCGCCUCCGAGUCCGAGGGUCGGGAUUUAUUUGGGAUCGAAUAGAAACGAGGCAUGUGCAAAGCUUACACACAUACCCUUGUUUGAAAACGGGCGGCUCGGUCUUUUCCGUGUCCUCCGUAAAGCCGAGGACUGGAAACUCAUCAGGAAGACAGAGUCAUUCACGCGAAGCGUGUGUCCUGCGAGUCAGGCUGCGAGUCAGGAAGCGCGAUGGAGGAGCCACUUCUGCCACCAGGCCAGUCGCAGAGGCGCCCGAGCUGCGCUGCGGGUCCGCCCGGCGGGCGGGCUUCCCUCUGACCGCUUGUAUUUGCUGGCUCGUGUCCGGAUAUCGGCAGCGUGGUCUCGUGAUCGUGUGCACAGGUCGUAGCCCUUAUCGAAGUAUGAAGUGGUCUGAUCACCGGCGUGUAUUACUCAGUGUUUGCAAAGCUAUGCGCUUCCAGGUAUGCUAACAUACGUUCCAAGGAAUCGGGCGCAUCCAUGUCCUGUUUCCUUUUCACCUUCACGCCUUACAGAACCUAGGACCUUCCAGAAAUAGUUUCAUGUCACGCAAGCAGAUUAUUUACAUGAGAAGCAUCCCGUCCAAUGAGCCCCGAUCCCAUUCAGUUAGGCAGCUCUUUCUUUUGUGCAUGGUAUGCAGGCACCGUGGUGCAACAGCAGAUGCCUUGUUGGCAUCACUUGAUGAAUCCAUUAUUUCAGUUUCAAUUCCACUUUCCUGACUGAACCGUAAAGAAGCCACGCUCUUUCCACUUUUGUUUCUCAUGUUCCUGUUGCCCCUGCUCCUCCAACGACCCCUUUUGUGAGAGAUGAAAUUCCACCUGCAUCCACGGAUAGAACAGCACUGUUCCAAUUUGUUUGAAUUCUUAACUGAAACACGCACUCUCGAGUCCACCACUGAGGGGGCAGAACGCCCUAGCAAGCGUUGGCCACAUGAGUGUCAGGAGAUUGCUGUGCCAGAAAGUGACGACGGGACACAGACUCUCAGAGGGGCUGAAGCAAGGUUCCUGGAAUAAGACGAGUGGUUAAUGUGUUUUUUCUAUUAAAAAUGUUAUCGGGGCCAGGACACGACAUGAGAUCUGUUCUCUGAGCGCAACUCCGUAUUGUCACCUGUAAGCACGAUGUUGAACAGCAGGUCGGUAGAAGGUAUUCAUCUUACGUAACUGAAACUUCUGUCACCCAGGAGAUCUAGCUGGUUCCCCCGUGAAGGCGGUUUGGGGGGACACGAAGAGCCGAAAAAGGGGACGCGUGACCUUAGGGCCGGCGGACGUUCGGCGCGUCCCAGGGGCUCACUCUGAAGAAGGGAAGAGAAGUGUCUGCAGGAGAGAUGAUCUCAGAACGUUUUUCAUUUGAUCGUGAACAUGGACAAAAUAUACACAGAGAUGCGGUGGUAAGUAUCUUUAUCAUUUUUUAAGUACCUCCUUCCAGGAGUGAGCGCCACCUCACUCUGGAGACGGGGAGUGCCAUCCCUAGCUAACGAGACAGGUUAUUCCUCGGAGCCAGCUGGGCGCAGGGUGAUCAGUGUGACGACAAAGUGCCAGCUCCCCUCUUCCGUUUCCGCGCCUUCCUGCAGGAUCUCCGAUGCAUUGAUCGUUUUGUCUUUGUAGGGCCGCCCUCAGCAUGUGGAAGUUCCCGGGCUAGGGGUCGCAUCGGAAUGACAGCUGCUGGCCACAGCCACAGCCGCAGCCAGGCCAGAUCCCAGCCACAUCUGCGACCUACACCACAGCUCAUGGCAACACCGGAUCCUGCACCCACUGAGCGAGGCCGGGGAUUGAACUGCGUCCUCAUGGAUCCUGGUUGGGUUUGUUACCGCUGAGCCACAACAGGACCGCCUUUUUUUUUUUUUUUUUUAAUUUGUAAUUUGAUGGGUCACUUUUCACAUUUCUCAAGGUCUCGACCUAUUAUUUUCCACUUACGAAGAAUCGGACGGUGCGUGCCGGUCAUCACAUCCCCAAAUCUAAAAGAGCUGGCGGGAGAGGCAGUGCUGAUGUUAACUAACCAGAUCCUGCCUGAAUCUUGGUCCCUCUCCUGACACAAAUAGAGAAACUCUCUAGGCGCUGAACGGUGUAUGCCCUUAUGAUGCAGUUUCCCAGUCACGUAGGACUGGACCUUGGGAGAACCUGCCUCUAUGGCUAAUGUUUUUGUUUUUAACGGAAGUAUAAUUUACGGUGGUAAAGUGAGCGACAUAUGAAUGGAGAGCUCGGAGUAUCAUCGCAAAACAAAGCCCUGUAAUUAACAUUCCCUUCAAGAAACACAGUAUCUCCAGCUUCCCAGACCCAUCCUGUGCUCUGCCCGCCCCCCCAUCUCUAACCCUUCACCCUCCCCUGAGGUAUCCACUACCCCAGAUGGGGGCUAUGGUUCCGUCUUCCUGGUGUAAACGUUAUGUAAGUGGAAUCACAAGAGUCUCUACUAUUUGGGGAUGGGGUUUUGCCCUCGGUGUUAUGGACAUAAGAUUCAUCCAUGCUGUUUCAUGUAGCUUCACUUUGUUCAUUUUUAUUGCUCUGUCGAAUUCCACUGCGUGCAUAUAGCACAUGUAUUUAUUCUUUCUGCUCAGGAUGGGCAUGUGGAAUUGCUUCUAAUUGUCGGCUGUUGUGGAGAGUGGUGCUAAGGAAUAUUCAUUCAGAUACGCGUCUCAUGGUGCCCGUGUGUGUGCGUUUCUGUUUAGUACGUACUUAGAUGUACAAUUGCCAAGUCGCCAGGAAUGGCCGUGGUCAGCUUUGCCAGACGUGAAAACGCUUCCUGACGUGGUUGCAUCGGUUUAGAGGCCCUAGUAACCACGAGCAUCCCCUUUGCUCCGCAUCCCUGCCAAGACUUUGUGUUAUCUCUCUGUGACAUUUUACUUACUCUUCUGGGUUCUUAGCGAUAUUUCACUAUGGUUUUAAUUAGCAUUUUCCUGGUAAAUAAUGAAACUGAGUAUUUUUCAUUUGUUUAUUGGCCAUUUGGAUAUAUUCUCUUUUGUGAAAUGCCUAUUCCAGUCUCUUGCCUAUUUUUCCAUUGGAUAUUCCAUACAUUUUUCUUCCUGAUUUAUUGGAAUCCCUCAUACACUCUGAGUGUGAGCCUGUCGCCAGUUAUGGCUGAGACGUAUUUUUCUUCUUCCGAUACAUGGAUUGCCUUUUGCUUUCUUUUCUUUUCUUUUUUUUUUUCAUCCUUUUGUUGCUGGAAUGUAAAAAUCAAUUUUUAAAAUUAUACUUUGUAACAAAUGAGUUUUCUAGGCUCAUUAUUUCUAAUACUUUCUCUGUAGAUUUUUUUUGGAUUUUCUAUGUAAAAAGUCAUAUUGUCUGUGAAGGAGGAGUUUUGUUUCUUGUUCAUUGCAUUUUUAAAUUUGUUUUCCCCACUUUAUCGAACUGGUUAGGAAUGCCAUGUGUCUGGUAGUGCUGGAAGGUAUAUGCAUCUCCUCCUCAGUCCCAGAGAAAUGCUUUCAGUGCUUCCCCAUUAAGGGUGACGCUUGUGAGAGGCUCUUUUUUGGGCCGCCUUUUAUCACAUUAAGAUCAUUUCUUUCUAUUUCUAGCUUUUGCUGAGAGUAUUUGUCAUGAGUGGAUGCUAAAUAUUAUCUAACGACUUUCUACAUAUUCUAGAGAUAAUCAUAUGGGGAUUUUUUUGCCUUUGAUUCUAAGAACAUAAUAAAUUACGCUCAUCAAUUUUUGAAUGUUAACUCAAUCUGGCAGUUCCAUUAAUCUAAUCCUUUUGUAAUGUAUCAUCCUUUUCAUAGACUGUUGGAUUCUGUUUGCCAGUAUUUCGUUUGGGGUUUUCCUCUCUAAAUUGUGAGUGAGGGGGAGUUCCCGUCGUGGCGCAGUGGUUAACGAAUCUGACUAGGAACCAUGCGGUUGCGGGUU